rnacentral:rRNA from 1 species
GAUGAACGCUGGCGGCGUGCCUAAUACAUGCAAGUCGAACGAAACUUCUUUAUCACCGAGUGCUUGCACUCACCGAUAAAGAGUUGAGUGGCGAACGGGUGAGUAACACGUGGGCAACCUGCCCAAAAGAGGGGGAUAACACUUGGAAACAGGUGCUAAUACCGCAUAACCAUAGUUACCGCAUGGUAACUAUGUAAAAGGUGGCUAUACUACCGCUUUUGGAUGGGCCCGCGGCGCAUUAGCUAGUUGGUAGGGUAACGGCUUACCAAGGCAAUGAUGCGUAGCCGAAUUGAGAGGUUGAUCGGCCACAUUGGGACUGAGACACGGCCCAAACUCCUACGGGAGGCAGCAGUAGGGAAUCUUCCACAAUGGGCGAAAGCCUGAUGGAGCAACGCCGCGUGGGUGAAGAAGGUCUUCGGAUCGUAAAACCCUGUUGUUAGAGAAGAAAGUGCGUGAGAGUAACUGUUCACGUUUCGACGGUAUCUAACCAGAAAGCCACUGCUAACUACGUG